rnacentral:rRNA from 1 species
AACCUGCGGWAGGAUCAUUA